AUCAUGGCAACAGGACUUUUAGAAGCACAUCCUCUGAAAGCCAUUUUCUGCUGCCUGUGGUUGGAAAGGGACUGUGAGUCUUUCCUCAGGAAGUCAGUAGCCCUACCUGGUGAGGUGAUCAAGAGUUUGCUAGCACAAGAGAUGAAGCAACAAUGACCACGAGGGCUUCAAGGAUUAUGCG
rnacentral:lncRNA from 1 species